rnacentral:rRNA from 1 species
UACAGAGGUCCCAACCGUUGUUCGGAUUCAUUGGGCGUAAAGGGUGCGUAGGCGGUCGCGCAAGUCGGAUGUGAAAUCUCGGGGCUCAACCCCGAAACUGCAUUCGAUACUGCGUGGCUAGAGUGCUGGAGGGGAGACUGGAAUUUACGGUGUAGCAGUGAAAUGCGUAGAUAUCGUAAGGAAGACCAGUGGCGAAGGCGAGUCUCUGGACAGCAACUGACGCUGAGGCACGAAGGCCAGGGGAGCAAACGGG